CGGAGGAUCCAAGCGUUAUCCGGAAUCAUUGGGUUUAAAGGGUCCGUAGGCGGUUUAAUAAGUCAGUGGUGAAAGCCCAUCGCUCAACGGUGGAACGGCCAUUGAUACUGUUAAACUUGAAUUAUUAGGAAGUAACUAGAAUAUGUAGUGUAGCGGUGAAAUGCUUAGAGAUUACAUGGAAUACCAAUUGCGAAGGCAGGUUACUACUAAUGGAUUGACGCUGAUGGACGAAAGCGUGGGUAGCGAACAGG
rnacentral:rRNA from 1 species